GGGGAUGUAGCUCAGUGGUAGACCGCAUGCUUUGCAUGUAUGAGGUCCUGGGUUCAAUCUAAUGAGACUUUA
rnacentral:tRNA from 1 species